AAGUAUGACUACACAAACCAUCAGCUAACAUGAACUAGCUGGCUAGCUCACAAAGGACUUCUCAAUAAUAAAAGGUAACAACAGCCAUUCUGUUAGCCUAUGCUGGUUUUAUUUUUAUUUGCAAGGAAGGAAAAGUGUGUUGUUCAUGAAACUACAGUCAGUGGUUAUCUAGCUAAUUUUCAAUAUUAUCUAGCUAACCACAGAUCUUUGACAUAAACAAUAUAGGGCUUACCUAAUCACACAGCUCCAGCGACAUCUCUUGCGUACAGAGGUCGGAAAACAAUAAAAUGCACAUGUGCUUAUCAGAAUAGUGGAUACAAUCCGGUACAUAGCACAGAAUCAUCCUUGCUUCUGAUCGAUGGAGAUAUCUAAGCUUAGCUAGUUAGUUACAAAGGCCAGGGUAAUUUAAAAAAUGCUAAGGUAGCUAGGUAGAGAAAUACACAAUAUCAAUUAUUUACACAAGAAACUAAAAAGGCUAUAAUAUCUACUUGCUAGGUUUACUUGUUGGUGAGAGUUUGCAUGGAGAAAUGUGGAGGUUUUCCCAACCUGUGCCUUGAGUGAUUACGUCAAAGCUUGUGACAGAUUUGUGGAGUUAUCAAAACAUCAAACCAGGCAGAGACAAGCUAUUUCUGUGGGAUUUGGGAUUUCCAUGAAGCUAUUACAACAUCUAGGUCCUCGCAGUUGUCAUGGUGAUGGGGUGGCUAUUCACUGUGGGGGCGGCCGACCCUUCCUGCCAUCAGAUGAGCACCACCGCACCUCCACAGGUGCUCCCCAAAGCUCCGUCCUACGCCCUCUUCACUGUACGUUGUGAGGGGGAACACUGCACUGGAGAAUUACGUGAGGUGCCACCACCAGCAAGCCAGCAAUUGAUCCACCCUGGAAUUCAUUAACCUGCGUCCUCCCACAGCCCUUCUGUUCCGAGGACACAGAUUUAUUGGUAGAUGAUACACUUUGUUUUAGUCAUCUCCACCUAAGAGCAUAUAUUAGUCAUGCAGCACCCUAGUCUGUUAAGUGCUUUAGUAAACACUCGGAUACUCUGCAAAGUGUCAAGCAACCCUCUAAUUGAACUUUUUCAUGUCUUUGCACCAAUAAAUUAAUCUGACACAUUUGCCUUUUAGAUUUGGAAUGGG
rnacentral:lncRNA from 1 species